AUUAUGGCUCACUUUUGAGGUGUUGCCUAUGAUAAAAUCCAACAUUUACUUGAUGUAACUGAGAAAAAUUAAAAAAUAAUCUGAAACCAAAACCUACAAAAGCAGAUAUUAAGAUGUCUUUUUCUCUUAAUUUGCCAUGUUAACAUAUUUUCUUCAUCUUUUACUUACUUAAUCAUUCAAUCCUUAUUCGUAAGGGCACACAUAUGGUAAUUAUCUUUGGAAUUUUUUGGAUUUUUUGGAUUUUUUUCCCCUCUCAUUAGACCAUCAAUAUUGGGCUAUUGUAAUUGUUUUAAAAGGAAGCAGGUGUUAAAGGUCUUGCUAUUUAAAUAGGUGGACAACAUUUCAUAAAUAAUAAAUCAGGCAUGAGAGUAUUUCCUUUUUAACAUGAAUUUCUAACUGAUCCACUCAAUUAUAAGCAUAUUAAGAGAAAGAGAUAAAAGAAAAUCUUAGAAGAAAAUAAAAUGCAAGGAACCAUUCCACACUUUCACUAAAAGUAAAGGAUAAUAAUAAUAAUAAUAAUAAUAUUAAAAGAGCAGCAAUAUGAAGAUAAAAAGAAGUGAAAGCCUCUAGCAACAAAUCAAUAAAAUUGCCACAACUCAUAUCAAAUAUUCAACACCAAUAUGUACUCAUGGACCACAUUCACAUGUCUAUGAUGAAAAAAAUUAAAAAAUUAAAAAAUUAAAAUUACAAGUAUAGUAGUUUUGAGAGUGCAAGAAUCAUAAUUUUACACACUUCUUUUAAUGAAGGAUCCAGAUCUUUGUUAUUCUUCUUUCAUUGCUAAUAAAAAUUUAAAAAUAAAAUAAAACAGAAAAAAGAAAAGAAAAGAAAAGAAAAUUUUACUAAGUGUGUUUUUUUUUUUUUUUUUUUUUUGAAAUUGAUAUCAUUGUAUUUAAUUGACAAAAAUAAUCAACUUCUAUUAUUUCACAUUUGGGUUCAUGUCCAAAAGACCCACAAAUCUAUGUUAACGGUCAUGAAAUCACGUUUGAAGCACAAAAAAUUUCAAUAAUUUCAAAAAAAAGGAAGCUUGUUGAAAAUUGUGCUCAUUUUUGGUCCACCACACUUGAUAUAUUAUUUAGGUUUUUAUUGUUUUAUGUUUUAUAUGAUCAGAUCAAGGAUCCGGAGCUUCAACAAAUGAUUUAAUUGGCUUCAGGACACAAGAUCUCUAUCUCUUUAAAUUAGUGCCUUUCAUCAUCUCCACAAAACAUGGUACGAGUUGCUUUUGCGGUCAAACAUGAUAUUGUUUUAAUUCCGAAGGCAUUUUCUUAGAAUGUCUUGUGUUGACAUUGGACUCAUAAGAACAUGAUGCCUCUUUGCCAUUUGUGGUUUUGUAAAUUUGUAAUGUUGCUUGGUCUAGUAUGUUUGUUGUUUCCAUCCAAAAAAAUCCUUUUAAAUGUGUUGAAACCAAAGUUGAACUUUGACCAACUCUCACAAUAUAGGUUGUCUUUCUAAUGAAAACCCUGAUUAAACUAUGCCUAAAAUGUAUAUCUAUCUAUCUCUCUCUCUCUCUAUAUAUAUACAUAUGCUCUUGUGACUCAACAUACUAAAUAUAUAGUUAUUUCAUUCUUAUCAUAUCAUUGGCUAUUAAUUUAUGGGUUAAUGAAGACUUGGCAUUAUAUGUUACUUUGUAUCAUUCCCAUUUUUUGAAAAAUGAGGUGAGAGGUUGGAAAUACAUGGAUGCAUUAAGGACUUCUAGUUAUACAUCUCUUUGUAGACAUGAAUAGUGUAAUUUUAAAAAUAUGUGAAAAAUCAUUUAUUUGUUUGAUUCUUUGGUUGAUUGUGAGAUGUAAAUGUUCAGCAGUCUAUUUUUGAUUUAACAAAUUAGUUUGAGUUAAACAAGGACAAUACUCUGAUAAUCUACUAAUCUAGUUAAAUUCAAUAAUGGUACGUUUUCUAAAAGUUACAUAUAUAGAACUACUUUAAAAUUAAAACUAUUUCUAUGCCAUCCAUUUUUUUGAUUUUUUAUUUGGUUUUUUAAAGGUUUUGAUUAAUAAAGUUUUUUGCAAAGUAAUUUUUAUUCAACUGUCUUAUGUUCUUUAUUUCUCAAAGCUAAUUGAUAAUAAAAUUUAACUUUAAUUUUCCUUCUAAGCCACAAUUGGUUUUAUUCAUAAUAUUACUAAUUUAUUUAAGGAUUUUAAUUGAACAUGAAAAUUUAAUCAUCUAUUGCACAAUAUAAUAUCCCGAACACACUAAAAAAGAAAUUAUUAUUUUUAUUUAUUCAUUUUAUUGAAGAAU
rnacentral:lncRNA from 1 species